rnacentral:piRNA from 1 species
CCCAAGCCCCAGAAUGCUAGAGUUUUGAC